AACCUCCGCAAUGUGAGAAAUCGCGACGGGGGGAUCCCAAGUGCCAUUCUUAACGGGAUGGCUUUUCAUUAGUGUAAAGAGCUUUUGGAAUAAGAGCUGGGCAAGACCGGUGCCAGCCGCCGCGGUAACACCGGCAGCUCUAGUGGUAGCAAUUUUUAUUGGGCCUAAAGCGUCCGUAGCCGGUUUAAUAAGUCUCUGGUGAAAUCCUGCAGCUUAACUGUGGGAAUUGCUGGAGAUACUAUUAGACUUGAGACCGGGAGAGGUUGGAGGUACUCCCAGGGUAGAGGUGAAAUUCUGUAAUCCUGGGAGGACCGCCUGUUGCGAAGGCGUCUAACUGGAACGGUUCUGACGGUGAGGGACGAAAGUUAGGGGCGCGAACCGGAUUAGAUACCCGGGUAGUCCUAACUGUAAACGAUGCGGACUUGGUGUUGGGGUGGCUUUGAGCUGUCCCGGUGCCGAAGGGAAGCUGUUAAGUCCGCCGCCUGGGAAGUACGGUCGCAAGACUGAAACUUAAAGGAAUU
rnacentral:rRNA from 1 species